rnacentral:rRNA from 1 species
ACUUCGGCCUGGCGCGAUUGGAUGAGCCCACGUCGGAUUAGCUUAGUUGGCGGGGUAAAGGCCCACCAAGGCGACGAUCCGUAGCUGGUCUGAGAGGAUGAUCAGCCACACUGGAACUGAGACACGGUCCAGACUCCUACGGGAGGCAGCAGUAGGGAAUAUUGGACAAUGGGCGCAAGCCUGAUCCAGCCAUGCCGCGUGAGUGAAGAAGGCCCUCGGGUUGUAAAGCUCUUUUGUCCGGAAAGAAAAGCGCCGGGUUAAUACCCUGGUGUCCUGACGGUACCGGAAGAAUAAGCACCGGCUAACUUCGUG